ensembl:lncRNA
CAGGGAGGGAGCUGCUCCCGGCUGCGGCUGCAGCUCCGUGUGUGGCUGCAGAUGAGAUAGCGCGGCCCCAACCGCCCCAUUUGGGGUGCAGCUGGUUUGGGGUGCGCCAGCUGCAGGGCCAACCCCCUGCACACAAAGCAGGGGCUGUUCACCCCAACUGUCACUAACCCCGGGGCAUGGGGAACCACACAGCACCCCAGGGAGCUGCGUUCUUCCUGGCAUUUUGUUUUCUUUGCAUUUUCAUCUCUCACCUCCAGUGGACACAGCACAGCCUGGCACCUCGUGCACAGGCCCACAGCUCGUGACUGGUCCACACCCUCUGCCUGUUCCAGAUCCCUGUGCUGGGAAUCUGCUCUGGGAGAGCAGGAGGCCUCCAGCUGGCUUGUCUGAGAUGCCUCAGCCAGGGGCAGCCUAACUGACUGUGAUAAAUUACGAGAUCCUAAAAAUGAAUGAAGAUGGGAAGCUCUUAUGCCAAGCUCUCCUUGCUGAUAGGAUGCGGGGCAGAUGCGCCUGGACCUGGCACCCAGAGAGGUGUGCAUUGGCUGAAGGAAUGCAAUCAGGAGAAGCGGAGAGGAAGCCACAUGCUGAACCAUCAGCCGUGAACGUCCCUGGUGUGAGUGCUUCAUCCCACUGGGAGGAGGAAUUGGGCAGGGCAGGGCUAAGCUGGGUGAUGGUGAGCAUCCCACCGGGAAUCACAGCCUUCGGAUCAGCCACGUGCAGAAGAGAAGAAGCUGGAAGUACCGAUUUCUCUGCCAUGAUGGAGGCUGGGUGACUGGGGGGAUCCGCCAGGAUGAACCAUCACGAUCUGUGCAGAAAAAAGUCAGUGCCCGUGACUGAGAAAAGGAAAGAUGUGUCCUCAGGGCUGCUCUGCAGGCACAAAGGGAGAGGCCCAGAGCCCAAGACCCUACCCAGGUAGCUGCAUCUGCUUUGUACGAUCGCUCUUCAUCCCAUUCCCCUGUGUUUCUGAGUCUAAAGACAUCUGCUCUGGCCUUUACGUCUGACCGUCCCGGUAGCCACAAGAAACAUUAGAGUACAAAUGGUGGUAACUGCUUCAUUUCCAGCUCUGCCUUCUACAUCAACCCCCUGGUCUGCCAAAAGAGCUACAGAGCAGGGGACCAGUGAUGCUUUCUAGAACAGAUUCAAUAGGAGCUUUUGAUGAUCAUGGGAACAUUGUAAUGAGACCAGAGAUAGCCUGGGCUUCCCUCCUUGUUUCUCUCUUCUUUUUUUUUUCUUCCUAAAAUAAAUGUCAGCCUCCUAUCUGGCAACCAGCAUGGCCCGAAGAAAACAGAGAGGGAAUAUGACUCACUCACAUUAUCCAGGCUCCUCAUGCAUGACAC